CUGUCUAAUUUAGAUGAUAUAGUACAUCACCGACCUCGUUUUUUACGAUAUUUCUCUCAAUAGAUGAAUCUAGUUGUAAUAGGUCUGAAUAGAUGGCGUUAGCUGUAAUAGGGGUUUAACACAGGUUUUAGGGUGGUUUAGAAAUGUUUUAGACGUUUUGCCGGUUGUCGUUGAGCCAGUCCCGAAAUGUUUUUUUAAAGCUGGCAUAAUGGAAGAUUCCCAUGUCACAUUUUACGAUUGUUAAGUGUGUUAGUCACGAAGAACGAAGCAAUGAAAGUCAAAUUUGGGUUUGCGGUGUUUGUGUCCGUCGCUAGAUAGCGUUAGAUUGGAAAAUCACGGGUGACAGCUAUGCGAGAAAGAGUUUGUAUUAACGUGUUAUUAGAUAUAUCAAUGAUACGGUCUGUCGAUUGGAAAGAGAAAGGUUUUUUGAACAGUUCGUCUGUCGACCAAACAGUCGCCACUUCUUACGCCCACAUCUGAAGAAUUGACAAUAGAUGUCAGUCUGUGUAUCAGAAAGGUUUUUAAUAAUCUCGAUGUUACAGAAGAAUCGUGGAAUGGUUUAUUAAAAAAGGUGCUACAGAAUCAAAUAUCAAUAGCAACAGUAAUUUGAUAGCCAAGUUAGUGGAUGUAGCUGAGCUAAAGCUACUGAAUGAAGAAAAUCAAAGACUGCGACGUUUUUUUUAACAAAAUGAAUUCGUUCUGUAUUCAGGUAUCUGGGUUAGCAAAAUAAACAUGUAAUCAAAUUUUUCAAACAGACAUUGCAAGGGAAUUCCAAGAUAUUCUUGGAUGAGAAUUUAGGUUUUGGAAUACUCCAAAAUAAGACACAAUCAAGUUAACGACCUCGAGUUAAUCCCAGCUCUCUUCAGCUUCAGUAGGCAGAGCAGCAGCCAUACCAGGUCAAAACUUACUCGGCGCACAUCGCGACUAGCAAAACCCCCAUGACUCGAAGGUGCGCCGAAGUCGUAACCCAUUCCACUCACUCCCGAGACCAUCGCUUGCAUGAAUGGCGGUACAUCAGCGUUGGACUAAAAAUAUGCGUUGGACUUUUAAUUGGGAACACAAGAAAUAUAAUUAUACGUCAAACGUGAGUAAGUUCUUACCUUAGUUAACAACGACACAAAUUUUCCAACGUUAGGGCCAUCUUUUUCAUCGUCAAAGAAACUAAUUGAUUUUCCAAUGUUUCCCACGCGGCCCGUUCGACCAACACGAUGAACAUACUCUUCAAUAUCAGUUGGCAAGUCAUAGUUUACGACAUAGUUUACACCGGCAAUAUCUAGGAAAAACAAAACAGACAUCUAAUACGUAAAAAGAGAAAGAAAGAAGAACCCCAAAACUAUUACCUAAACCACGGGCAGCAACAUUGGUGGCCACGAGAAUAUUCCUGACACCAUUCUUGAAAUCACGAAGCGCUUGCUCGCGCUGGCUCUGAAGACGAUCUCCAUGAAUGCUGGUAGACUAGACAUUUAACGUUAGACACUUUGCCCAAGCACAUGAGAACAGUAAUGUUCUUACUUGUAAGUUAUUAUUGCACAAAAAUGCUGCGACGAAAUCCGCGGUCUUUUUGCUGUCGACAAAAACGAUAGUCUUGGCAUCACCGAGAUCUUGUAAAACUUCCAUCAGCUUAGUUCUCUUAUCUCUUUUCGAGCACUGAAAAAACAGCUGUUCGACAUCCGGAUUGGUGCCACCAACAAUACCCGUUGUGACGAAUAUAUAGUCUUCCAUGUAAGUCGCUGCCAACGCUUGUACUUCAUCUGGGAAUGUAGCUGAAAACAUGCAAACACGACGGAUCCCCUAAAGAGAAACAGGUAGUGAUACAUCAGUCAAAUCUCAUAUUUAAAAGCCACUGAGAACAUACUUUUGGAGGCAUCGUGGGAUGGUUGACCAUUUUUUCAAUAUCGGGACCAAAACCCAUAUCAAGCAUUCGAUCAGCUUCGUCCAAGAUUAAAAAUUUGACCGCUGUGAAGUCAAAUAUUCCACGAUCGAGGAAAUCCUUGAGUCGCCCAGCGGUCGCGACAAGAAUAUUGCACCCAGCUUGAAUAUUUGACCGCUGAUGGUUCACGACAGUUCCCCCAUAUAUAAUCACGGACUUCAAAACCGAGUUGUAGGAGAAUUUACACGCCUCGCGGUGAAUUUGAAUGGCCAAUUCACGAGUGGGUGCAACAAUUACAACUUCUGGUUUUUGAAGCAUGCCGUGGGACGCACCAGCAACACCUUGCUCUAACAAUAUGUUCAUAACUGGUACUAAGUACGCCGCCUAUGUGAAAAAAUUUUAAAUGUUAGACGACCUUAAUCAACGAAUAUGACGAAUGGGUUGUUGAGUAUCUUAGAUGCAAUUGGACCAUUAAGUAGUCGCAAUCACCGACGUGCCCACUCAAAAUUACUUUCACCUUGAAUUACCCAGUUCAUACCGACCCAUUGAAAUCAGCACAAGCAAUCAAAUCUCUUUUGGCCAGAAUAACUGCAAUCGAGGCUUUCUGAACAGGUGUUGGUUUUAUGUAGCCAGAAUUCUUGAUGUUCUGAAGCAACAGUGGGCGCAAGCCGGCUUCUUCGAACGAUGUUAUGUAUUGAGUUUCUAAGAAUGGCUUACCUGGAGGACGACCUUAUCAAAAUUGUUAAAGCGCUCCCCACAGACGAUGCCCUUAAAAAGUUCCUUUUCAUCGCACGUCACAGCUUCCGGAAUGUAUUGUUCACGCGGCUUUCCGUCUUCCGUCAAUUCACUGAAUGGGUUCGGGCAAUCUUUCGAGGUGUGACCAGCUUCGUGACACUAUGGGAAAGAAACAAUGAAAGCUAGAACACAAACUAUUUUUGUAAAGGUACAAUUGAUGUUUACCUUGAAGCACUUGCUGUCACCACCACCUCCUCCUUGUGGACAAUCCCUUGACACAUGACCCUCUUCUCCACACUGUUUAAAAUAAACAUUACAAAUUUGUAACAAAA
rnacentral:lncRNA from 1 species